AACGAACGCUGGCGGCAGGCUUAACACAUGCAAGUCGAGCGGAGUGAUGGUGCUUGCACUAUCACUUAGCGGCGGACGGGUGAGUAAUGCUUAGGAAUCUGCCUAUUAGUGGGGGACAACAUCUCGAAAGGGAUGCUAAUACCGCAUACGUCCUACGGGAGAAAGCAGGGGAUCACUUGUGACCUUGCGCUAAUAGAUGAGCCUAAGUCGGAUUAGCUAGCUGGUGGGGUAAAGGCCUACCAAGGCGACGAUCUGUAGCGGGUCUGAGAGGAUGAUCCGCCACACUGGGACUGAGACACUGCCCAGACUCCUACGGGAGGCAGCAGUGGGGAAUAUUGGACAAUGGGGGGAACCCUGAUCCAGCCAUGCCGCGUGUGUGAAGAAGGCCUUAUGGUUGUAAAGCACUUUAAGCGAGGAGGAGGCUCUUUUGGUUAAUACCCAAGAUGAGUGGACGUUACUCGCAGAAUAAGCACCGGCUAACUCUGUGCCAGCAGCCGCAGUAA
rnacentral:rRNA from 1 species